CCAUAUUCGUAGUGCUAGGUGG
rnacentral:miRNA from 1 species